rnacentral:rRNA from 2 species
CUGGCUCAGGACGAACGCUGGCGGCGUGCCUAAUACAUGCAAGUCGAGCGAACAGAGAAGGAGCUUGCUCCUUCGACGUUAGCGGCGGACGGGUGAGUAACACGUGGGCAACCUACCUUAUAGUUUGGGAUAACUCCGGGAAACCGGGGCUAAUACCGAAU